CCAGGGGGAGGAGUGCUAGCCCGGCCAGUUGGCUCGGGAAGCUCCAGCUUGUACUCUGGAGGAACCCCGUACUGAAUCCUAAUCAGUGAGAGUUCCUUCAGAGACAGAGAGCUGAGGAUGGUGUCUGGUACAAAGAUCGGAUGAAGUUCAUCUACGGAACUAAGGUUUUGGGGAGCUGGGAUGGACGAACUACUAAAACUGC
rnacentral:lncRNA from 1 species